UCCGGUUUGUCACCGGCAGUCUCGCAUGAGUCCCCAACUAAAUGCUGGCAACAUGCGACGGGGGUUGCGCUCGUUGCGGGACUUAACCCAACAUCUCACGACACGAGCUGACGACAGCCAUGCAGCACCUGUGUGCAGGUCCCCGAAGGGAAGGAACCCAUCUCUGGGAACCGUCCUGCCAUGUCAAGGGCUGGUAAGGUUCUUCGCGUUGCAUCGAAUUAAACCACAUGCUCCACCGCUUGUGCGGGUCCCCGUCAAUUCCUUUGAGUUUUAGCCUUGCGGCCGUACUCCCCAGGCGGGGCGCUUAAUGCGUUAGCUGCGGCACGGAAGUCUUGCGACCCCCACACCUAGCACCCACCGUUUACGGCUAGGACUAC
rnacentral:misc_RNA from 1 species